CCCUGAUCAAAAGUAUUCACAUUCCUUACUCAGGUAGAAGGAUAGAUACUAGGGUUUUAAAAGACUACUGUUGAAGUUGAAGUAUCAACUCAAGCUUUAAACUCAAGUAAAAGUAGCCAGCUCCACAGGGGCUUA